CAUGUAGGCGGAUUAAUAAGUUUGAAGUGAAAUCCUAUAGCUUAACUAUAGAACUGCUUUGAAAACUGUUAAUCUAGAAUGUGGGAGUGGUAGAUGGAAUUUCUGGUGUAGGGGUAAAAUCCGUAGAGAUCAGAAGGAAUACCGAUUGCGAAGGCGAUCUACUGGAACAUUAUUGACGCUGAGAUGCGAAAGCGUGGGGAGCAAACA
rnacentral:rRNA from 1 species